rnacentral:ncRNA from 1 species
CAAAGGGGUGCCUGCGUGGCUGAGAUUAUACCCUAUGAACCUGAACCGGGUAAUGCCGGCGUAGGAAUUGUUCAU